AUUGAACGCUGGCGGCGUGCCUAACACAUGCAAGUCGAGCGGUAACAGGUGUAGCAAUACAUGCUGACGAGCGGCGAACGGGUGAGUAAUGCUUCGGAAUCUGCCCAUGUAGUGGGGAAUAACCAGCCGAAAGGUUGGCUAAUACCGCAUACGACCCUUGCCCACAAGGCAAAGGUGAAAGCAGGGGAUCGCAAGACCUUGCGCUAUUGGAUGAGCCGAAGUCGGAUUAGCUAGUUGGUAGGGUAACGGCCUACCAAGGCGACGAUCCGUAGCUGGUCUGAGAGGACGACCAGCCACACUGGGACUGAGACACGGCCCAGACUCCUACGGGAGGCAGCAGUGGGAAUAUUGGACAAUGGGGCAACCCUGAUCCAGCGACGCCGCGUGUGUGAAGAAGGCUGCGGGUUGUAAAGCACUUUUAGUGGGGAUG
rnacentral:rRNA from 1 species